UAGACAUCACGACAAUUAAAUCGGUGAGAAAUACACGCGAUGUAAAACAAUGUCAUUAACAUCGAUUCCUCAAAAACCGAUUUGUAUGCAUAUAACUGACAUCGUUUUUUACUGUUGACCGAUGUCUAUAUUUUGAUUCUAAAAUUUUCAAAAACGCGGAAACACUAAGUUAAAAAUUUUAAGGAACGCGGGGAACAAAAUUUUCAUUCCCCACACUUAUUAUUUUUUCAACUCACUUUAUCUCUAACUUCCACACAAUUGAAAACUGGCGACCCAUUUUCUCUCUUGCUAUUCCCCGAACCCUAGCCCUCUCCUCCUUCCUCUCCCACUCUCUUUCCACGGCCACCACCGAUUCCCUCUCCUCCGCUCACUCCCGCUACUAUCUCUCUCUCUCUCAUUAACCGUCUCCGCCCCCUUGCCGGCGCCAUCACCUCCACGAGCAAGAUCUCUCUCUCUCAGAUCUCGGAAGACUGAAAGAAGGCAAAGAAUCCUUCUCUCAAUCUCCCUCUCGAAUUGGGGAAAUCGAUUGCUUCUAUGAACCAAGACAACAUCCCAGGGGCGACCGGCACCAUUCUAUCAAAUUGAGUACUGGGUACUCAACAAGUUCGCUUUUUGACGGUGACGCAAAAAUUCAUUUUCAAUUUCAAAUGUCGUUUUCAAUGGGGAACUCUUGGGAUAUCGAUUUGGGGCUUUCCUGGUCAGAGACCAAUGGAGCAGAACCAAAAAUCAAUAAUACCCAUGACCCGUAUGUACUCAGAUUCAGUUAGCAGGGCAGUGCUCAAGUGCGUGUCAUUGACCCAUAACCAUUCUUCACUUGCUCAAAACUUCAAAAGGGUACGCUUCUUUGACUCAUGAGAACUCUGUUCAGUUCAUUAAUAUGUUUCAAAUUCUUAAGUGUUAUUGUGAUCAAUUUUGGAUCAGAGAGAACUUUAUACCAAUAUUAAAAAGAAAAGUAGAUUAACAUGAUCUCUUGUGCUGUGGAAAACUUUCAGCUUGCUUUGUAGGAAAGCUAAGAAACUGUCUGGUUUUUCUUUAUGUUUCUGGUUAAAGUUGCCAAAUUAUAUACUCCUGCACUUAUCAUGAUCACUUAUAAUAGUUGGAAGGUAUAAUGUAUAUUCUUUUUUUGUGUUUAAAUGAAAUAGGUUUCGACCUCGAAUUUUUAUUGAUGUAAGCAAGAUAGACUUGAGCACAGCGUUACUAUUUUGGGCUUCAAAGUUUCAAUGCCCAUCAUGAUUGCUCCUACAGGCAUGCAGAAGAUGGCUCACCGUGAAAAUAUAAUCCCCUUUGGAAAGACAGUUUUACUUUAUUUUCCUGUGACAUGUUUAUACAAUAAGUUGCAUAAAAAUCUUUGACUUAGAAAACAGUUCAAGUCAUAUUCGGUAUCUUGAUAUGGUUGAAUCGAUGCAGUACUCUUCUAAAGCUUCUUUUUGUGUAUUUUUGUCUGUAAGACAAAGCUAGCUGAAUUUAUAUCUGUAAUUCUAAUCUUUAUGGUUGAAUAGACAGAAAAUCAUUUUUAUUGGUGGAUUGACUGAUGGCUUUCUGGCAACAGGGUAUGUAUAAUGAAUCCUUAACUUUUAUGAUGACAUUUUUUCUUUUAUUAAUCAUCAUUGGUAGAUUUUGGUGUUGAUAGAUUGCAUCGUAUGCAAAUUUCCACCAAGAAAUGCUCUCUUGAUUUAAAAUUCACUGUCAUACCAGAAAAUGAAAAAAUUCACUGUACUAAAUUGUUGGAUGCUUAAAGCAAGUUAUUUCUAUCUCAUCUCUCUUUUCUGAUUUUCAGAUACUUGGAACCUCUUGCAAUUGCUUUGGACAAGGAGAAAUGGUCACUUGUUCAAUUAAUUGAUAUGGCACUUCCUCUAUAUAUAUAUAUAUAUAUAUAUAAUGAAAAACAUAUAUAUAGUUUAAGAUGAUACAUAUUUCAUUAAUGAAUGUUGAGUAGUUGUAAUUGAAGUUCAAAUUGAUUUAUUUUAGGAUAAAAGAUUUCUGCUUCACAUGUGUUCAAGGAAUACCUUCGGAGAGGCUUAACUUCACCAGAGAUAAGUCUUGGAUUAGUUGGCCUGACCUUUGCAUCUUUGUGUACUAAACAAGGACCGAGUUGGAACAAUUUUGUGUAUAACUGUAUAUAUUUCUAUUUUCUGGGUUUGCUAGAAGCACUUUUUUGAGUUCCUUUUUUACCAUAUGGUAGGCUAAAGUCCCUCCUAAGGUACAAGUUUUUGCUUGGGGCUGUUGCUCACAGGAGAGUUAUACUUGUGAGGUCAACAGCAAAGCCCUUCUGUUUGACUUUGGCCACUUGAAAGAAAGAGGCAGUUGAGGGUAUUGGUAACAUUUUCCUUCAUUUUCUAGUGGUGUUGAGAUUGGAUAGAAGUGUCUGCUGCUAUGGUGAAUGUGGUUCCCUCAGCUGGGGUAUUUGGUGUGGAGUGAUUGCAUCAUGUGUUUUAAUGUUGCCAUUGUGUAUGGAGUAACUGUAUCUUUAUCUUAUGGUGUAGUGACCAUGGUCAAAUGAGUACUUGCUUUUAAUUUUGUUAGGGUCAAUACAGUUGCCCUGCAUCUCACCAUGAAUAUUCAUCUUUGAUCGCAAAUUUAUGUCUUUGGAUUCAAUGGUGCCAGUCUCUGUCUGUAUUACAGCAAAUGUAUUCAUGCAAUCUGUCUGUGCCUAGUUUUUUUAUAGUAACUUGUUCAGCAUUGUUGACCUUUGACUUGAUUAAUCAUAAUUAAGGACUUAAAUAUCCCAGAAAGGUAUAGUUAAGUUAACCAACAGAUUGUGUUAUGGAUGCUAGGAUAGGAAUGUCUUGUAAGCUCAAUGUCUUUUUGUCUUUCCCUUUUCCUUUCCUUUCUUUCCUUCUGUUUUUCUUGUUAUAGCUAAUUGUCCAUUUAAUUUUAUUUGCAGGUGAAAACAGAAGAACAAAUGGGAUAUAAGUAUGGCGAGGCUUGCUUUCGUUUAUGUUUCUAGUAUUAUGUACCAUAUAGACUUAAAAUUUUGUUUUAUUUCGACACGUUAUGCAUAGAAAUACUUGGGAUGUUGUUAUGUACUUUGAGCAUCAAUAUUAAUAAAAAUUUAUUUACUUACGA